GUGGGGAAUUUUGGACAAUGGGCGCAAGCCUGAUCCAGCAAUGCCGCGUGCAGGAAGAAGGCCUUCGGGUUGUAAACUGCUUUUAACCGGGAAGAAACCCCAGGACGUGUCCUGGGUUGACGGUACCGGAGGAAUAAGCACCGGCUAACUUCGUGCCAGCAGCCGCGGUAAUACGAAGGGUGCAAGCGUUAUCCGGAUUCAUUGGGUUUAAAGGGUGCGUAGGCGGAGCGUUAAGUCAGUGGUGAAAUCCUGCAGCUUAACGGUAGACUUGCCAUUGAUACUGGCGCUGUUGAGUGCGCUUGAAGUGGGCGGAAUGGGCCGUGUAGCGGUGAAAUACUUAGAUAUGGCACAGAACACCAAUUGCGAAGGCAGCUCACUAAGGCGAUACUGACGCUGAGGCACGAAAGCGUGGGGAUCGAACAGGAUUAGAUACCCGUGUAGUCC
rnacentral:rRNA from 1 species